UUGUAUGCUAAGAGAGUGGAUUUCAGGGGAAAGUUUUUUUAAAUUUAAUAAUUAAAGUUAUUUUAAUUUGUGAAGAAACAAUUAUAUAAAUUAAGGACAAGAAGACCCUAAGAAUUUAAGAAUUCUUAUGUUACUUAAAUAUAAAAUAGGAAUUCUUAGUUGGGGCAACUAAAAAACAUUAUAAACUUUUUUUCUUUAAAAUGACCCAUUAUUAAUGAUAAUAUGAUUAAAUACUCUAGGG
rnacentral:rRNA from 1 species